rnacentral:rRNA from 1 species
CAGCAGCAGCCGCGGUAAUACGUAGGGUGCAAGCGUUAAUCGGAAUUACUGGGCGUAAAGCGUGCGCAGGCGGUUUGUUAAGACAGAUGUGAAAUCCCCGGGCUCAACCUGGGAACUGCAUUUGUGACUGGCAAGCUAGAGUAUGGCAGAGGGGGGUGGAAUUCCGCGUGUAGCAGUGAAAUGCGUAGAUAUGCGGAGGAACACCGAUGGCGAAGGCAGCCCCCUGGGCCAAUACUGACGCUCAUGCACGAGAGCGUGGGGAGCAAACAGGAUUAGAUACCCCAGUAGUCCCUGUCUCUUAUAA